AUAAAUGCAAUGAAGGGAAAAGUCAAUGCAUUUGCUUUUUAGAGAGUCGGCGUGGACAUUAUAUUAAAUUCUUGUAUAAGUCCUAGACAUUUUAUAAUUACUUAUAAAAGUCCUUGGUGCAAGCCGAUAUGCAAGCUUUGAAGUUCCAUCCUGGAGCAGUCUGCGAAGAGCAGUACCGGCACAGCCGUUAAAGACUUGAGAGAACAGAAGCUUUUUCUGUUAAUUAGGGUGGUAACGCGGAUAACACUUCGUCCCUUUG
rnacentral:ncRNA from 1 species